UACGUAGGUGGCAAGCGUUGUCCGGAAUUACUGGGCGUAAAGAGCUCGUAGGUGGUUUGUCGCGUUGGUCGUGAAAUGCCACAGCUUAACUGUGGGCGUGCGGGCGAUACGGGCAGACUGGAGUACUGCAGGGGAGACUGGAAUUCCUGGUGUAGCGGUGGAAUGCGCAGAUAUCAGGAGGAACACCGGUGGCGAAGGCGGGUCUCUGGGCAGUAACUGACGCUGAGGAGCGAAAGCGUGGGGAGCGAACAGG
rnacentral:rRNA from 1 species